ACGGAAGGCAGCAGUGGGGAAUAUUGCACAAUGGGGGAAACCCUGAUGCAGCGACGCCGCGUGAGUGAAGAAGUAUUUCGGUAUGUAAAGCUCUAUCAGCAGGGAAGAAAAUGACGGUACCUGACUAAGAAGCCCCGGCUAACUACGUGCCAGCAGCCGCGGUAAUACGUAGGGGGCAAGCGUUAUCCGGAUUUACUGGGUGUAAAGGGAGCGUAGACGGCCAAGCAAGUCUGAAGUGAAAGCCCGUGGCUCAACCACGGGACUGCUUUGGAAACUGUUAGGCUAGAGUGCAGGAGAGGUAAGUGGAAUUCCUAGUGUAGCGGUGAAAUGCGUAGAUAUUAGGAGGAACACCAGUGGCGAAGGCGGCUUACUGGACUGUAACUGACGUUGAGGCUCGAAAGCGUGGGGAGCAAACAGGAUUAGAUACCCUGGUA
rnacentral:rRNA from 1 species